rnacentral:rRNA from 1 species
CUCAGUUCAGAUCGUAGGCUGCAACUCGCCUACGUGAAGGAGGAAUCGCUAGUAAUCGCAGGUCAGCAUACUGCGGUGAAUACGUUCCCGGGCCUUGUACACACCGCCCGUCACACCAUGGAAGUUGGCCACGCCCGAAGCCGUUACUCCAACCCUUGUGGAGGAGGACGUCGAAGGUGGGGCUGAUGACUGGGGUGAAGUCGUAACAAGGUAUCCGUACCGGAAGGUGCGGAUGGAUCACCUCCUAA